rnacentral:rRNA from 1 species
AAAUUGAAGAGUUUGAUCAUGGCUCAGAUUGAACGCUGGCGGCAGGCCUAACACAUGCAAGUCGAACGGUAACAGGAAGAAGCUUGCUUCUUCGCUGACGAGUGGCGGACGGGUGAGUAAUGUCUGGGAAACUGCCUGAUGGAGGGGGAUAACUACUGGAAACGGUAGCUAAUACCGCAUAACGUCGCAAGACCAAAGAGGGGGACCUU